CGGAGUAUGACGCUAACCUGGGGAAGGGAUGGAAAAGGAUGCUGUUGCAGAGGAGAUGAAUGAAAUCAAUGGAGUGACCUGGUGGAACAAGGCAGGCAAAGGUCCUCAGAGAGCAAAACGGAACUGUGUAUGUUGAGGACAUGGAAAAGAGGUGCUACGUGAAGAGGUCUUGGGGUUUUUCCAGGACUACUAUGGUGAACAAUGCAUAUCAAAGGCUUGAACGUUGCAGCAGUUAACACAGAUAAAAUAGAAAACAAGUACUGCAGAACCUACGCUCUCUGGUAACGUAUACUGCUAAACAUUCUUUUCAUGCCAAGAGCUCUUAACAUAGAAACCUAUCAAGUAACACAGCACCGAGUGGGGUCAAAGAGAUGUUCCCCAAAUACACGAGAAUUCACACUCUCAGUCUUCCCUUUCCAAAUGAGCCCCGCUUUCAGGUUGCAUUUGUUGCAAGGAACAGGCUGGAGGAAGGUGAUGGCUGGAGAAGAGCUGAGCUGACAGACCUGUGACCACACGAACCCAAAAGGGGCAGCCUGCAGCUGCACCGCCCAGCACCCAGAGGCUGAGACCGUGAUGAUAGGAAUACACUCAAAGAAAGCAAAGGAGCAGCAGAGGACCCGCAGCAGCCGGGCCGGGGCCGUGCUCGGCCUAUAAUCAUGCCAUCAUGAGAGAGGAGAACAUGCCAUCGUGAGGAGGAGGGCUUCAGUGCAGUGAGCAAAGGGGAUGAAAGGGGCUGCAGAAAAACAAGCAGGAAUGGCAGCCACCUCUUUGCAUCUUGGCCUUUGCACCAGCCCCCCAUGGUGAUGCAGUGUGUGGGGCUGCAGCAAGGAGCAGGUGCUGUGUGCUUCUGCUGAGCAUUAUGGAACGCUCCCUCGGAGGCUGGGAGCUGCCAAGGCGUGUCCUGAUGGGACAGAUGUUGUUUCGUUACUGUCACCAUGGCAUCCUGCAUGUUUGAAGGGAACAUGUGUUUGUUAAGGAAAAGCAACUGUUACCAAGACGUUCGCUUCUCUCCUUGCCUUGGUUUGGCUGAAGGGCAAAGACAAAGCUCGAGG
rnacentral:lncRNA from 1 species